rnacentral:rRNA from 1 species
UACGUAGGGCGCAAGCGUUGUCCGGAAUUAUUGGGCGUAAAGAGCUCGUAGGCGGUCUGUCGCGUCGGCUGUGAAAAACCCGAGGCUCAACCUCGGGCCUGCAGUCGAUACGGGCAGACUAGAGUGCUGUAGGGGAGACUGGAAUUCCUGGUGUAGCGGUGAAAUGCGCAGAUAUCAGGAGGAACACCAAUGGCGAAGGCAGCUCGCUGGGGACGGUACUGACGCUGAGACGCGAAAGCGUGGGGAGCAAACAGG